UUAUACUUGUCCCUCAAGAACCCAGAUGACAAAGCAAUGGAAGUGCUAUGUGAGGGUCUGAAUCAUCCAGAAUGUGCAAUAGAAACGCUUCAGCUUUCUGGAGAGAUACUGACCGAAUCCUCCAGCAGGCAUCUUGCAGAAGUCCUCAG